CCGGUGUCGACUCACUUCUGCCGCCGUGUGGACACGUGAUGAACACGCAGUGCGUCAGUUUGCGUUUACAGGGAACGAGUAACCUGUGACUCAUCACAUCCUCCAAAAGGAAGGAGUCCCCACAGGCACAGGAAAUGGACUAGCAGGUCAAAGGAGGUCAAGCAGGGUCAGGCGGAUGUAAAUAUCACAUCACAGAGGAUGAUGGGAAAUGAUUUCUAUGCCCAGUUCUUCUGCUGGUAUCAGUCUGUCGUGAAGACCUGCAGACACCUCUGAUCACUUCACACAGUGUAACAUAAGAAUCUGAAUACGUUACUACUUCCCAAGCACACACACUUACACAGAAAGAGGCCCCUCUUUUGGAAUUUUGAUUAGUAGAAUUCCUUCAGGAUGUGGGAUUGAGGACAGGAAUGGGAUCAAGGAGACAAGAGAUGAGCGACCACCGACCCCAUUUCCCCCCGAAUCCUGCCUCUCAGAAAAGCCUCCGAAUACACAGAGGAAAUGAGGCAAAGCGCCACCUCUCACCUCCAGGGUUUUGAUGUGGCGAGCUGUUUGGAUAUAGUGGGCAUUUAUUUAUUUUAUAACUGAUGCUGGUUCAGCUCCAGCUGGAGGGAAUAAAGCAGAUGGAAUGUUUUAAAGUGUAAACAGACUUGAGCGCUCUGACACAAAGGCUUACACCGGAGGGCAACAUAUCUACCUCAACAUGUCCCGACUGCUAGAACGUGAAAAGGGGUCAGUGUGGGAAGUGACCUUGCUUCUUUUCAAGCCCAAAUAAUAAGAGGUGAACUUCAUCGGGCUGUUCAGUGGCAGUUUCUCAAAAGAUCUGAUCAUAUAGCAUCAAGGAAUUGUGAGUUUGGUGUGUGUUUUAUGUUUGUGAUGCAUGUUAAAUCAGUGGGUGUGCUGUGUUUGUACAGCAGGAGUUGAUACCUGGAGGGGAGCCUUUUUCACAUCACUCCCAGUCCUCUGUGCUGUUUA